CGCUUUUGUGAUUCACAAAGGUGGACUCGACCGAAUCCACGGAUUCAACCAAGUCUAUUACGUCACGAUUUCGAGUCAACUGUUUGGGGUGGUCUGAAACAGUGGACUCCACAGAAUCCGUGGAUUCUAGGCGUAAUUGGCCAAUCACAGCGCAGCAUUUGGGUAUAUCUUUGUGCAGACAACAACCGCUGGACGAUAAUUUUGCAGCAAAAUUUAAGGUGGAAGACUGGACGUGAAAGUGGUGGAAAAAAUACAUGCUGGACCGAGCUCCGAGAAAAUUAACAAAAAAUGGCAGAAAAUCACCGUGCUCAUUUAAUGCAUCUUGAUCGUGUCAACAGCCUCAGAGAGAUAGCCAACAGGCCCAGACCCUGAUGGGAUUACAGAAAUGAAUGAAUCCUUUUGAGUUGUACAUGGAUGAAGCCCUUCGAAUGCGGUAUCGCUUCUCAAAAGAGACUGCACUCCAUCUCAUCAACAUGUGUGAGGGUGAUCUGAGCUGAGGAGGAAUACAGAAUGUAGUGAACCUCUACCUGUUGUCAUAGGUGUCAUCGAUGGGGCUCAUGUCUACAUUAGGAGUCCUGGUGGG